AGUGAACGCUGGCGGUAGGCCUAACACAUGCAAGUCGAACGGCAGCACAGUAAGAGCUUGCUCUUACGGGUGGCGAGUGGCGGACGGGUGAGGAAUACAUCGGAAUCUACUUUUUCGUGGGGGAUAACGUAGGGAAACUUACGCUAAUACCGCAUACGACCUACGUGUGAAAGCAGGGGAUCUUCGGACCUUGCGCGAUUGAAUGAGCCGAUGUCGGAUUAGCUAGUUGGCGGGGUAAAGGCCCACCGAGGCGACGCUCCGUAGCUGGUCUGAGAGGAUGAUCAGCCACACUGGAACUGAGACACGGUCCAGACUCCUACGGGAGGCAGCAGUGGGGAAUAUUGGACAAUGGGCGCAAGCCUGAUCCAGCCAUACCGCGUGGGUGAAGAAGGCCUUCGGGUUGUAAAGCCCUUUUGUUGGGAAAGAAAAGCAGCAGGUUAAUACCCCGCUGUUCUGACGGUACCCAAAGAAUAAGCACCGGCUAACUUCGUG
rnacentral:rRNA from 1 species